UGGGGAAUUUUGCGCAAUGGGGGAAACCCUGACGCAGCGACGCCGCGUGAAGGAUGAAGGUCUUCGGAUUGUAAACUUCUUUUGUCGGGGAAGAUAAUGACGGUACCCGAUGAAUAAGCCACGGCUAACUCUGUGCCAGCAGCCGCGGUAAGACAGAGGUGGCAAGCGUUGUUCGGAAUUACUGGGCUUAAAGGGCGCGUAGGCGUCCCGGUAAGUCAGAUGUGGAAGCUUUCCGCUUAACGGGAAAAUUGCAUCUGAUACUGUCGGGAUUGAGUCAGCGAGGGGAUGGCGGAAUUCCAGGUGUAGCGGUGAAAUGCGUAGAUAUCUGGAGGAAGGCCGGUGGCGAAGGCGGCCAUCUGGCGCUGAACUGACGCUGAGGCGCGAAAGCGUGGGGAGCAAACAGG
rnacentral:rRNA from 1 species